CGUGCUUUAGUACAAGUGUCCCGUGAUGUCAGGUUUCUGACAGGUUUUGCUGGUCUUUUUAUAUUCCAUUCUCUUGUCAGGGCAUCUGCUCUUAGUAAGCCGGUCUUGUUAUUAUUUAUUAAUUGCAUCAAGGUUUCUUUCGUUAAUUGAUGUGUUUCUUCCGAAUUCAAAUUCAUAUGCCACCAAAUGUCAUUGUAAAGUUCAAUGUUGCAGAAUAUUG